rnacentral:rRNA from 1 species
GGCUUAACACAUGCAAGUCGAGGGGCAGCAUGGUCUUAGCUUGCUAAGGCCGACGGCGACCGGCGCACGGGUGAGUAACACGUAUCCAACCUGCCGUCUACUCUUGGACAGCCUUCUGAAAGGAAGAUUAAUACAAGAUGGCAUCAUGAGUCCGCAUGUUCACAUGAUUAAAGGUAUUCCGGUAGACGAUGGGGAUGCGUUCCAUUAGAUAGUAGGCGGGGUAACGGCCCACCUAGUCUUCGAUGGAUAGGGGUUCUGAGAGGAAGGUCCCCCACAUUGGAACUGAGACACGGUCCAAACUCCUACGGGAGGCAGCAGUGAGGAAUAUUGGUCAAUGGGCGAGAGCCUGAACCAGCCAAGCAGCGUGAAGGAUGACUGCCCUAUGGGUUGUAAACUUCUUUUAUAAAGGAAUAAAGUCGGGUAUGCAUACCCGUUUGCAUGUACUUUAUGAAUAAGGAUCGGCUAACUCCGUGCCAGCAGCCGCGGUAAUACGGAGGAUCCGAGCGUUAUCCGGAUUUAUUGGGUUUAAAGGGAGCGUAGAUGGAUGUUUAAGUCAGUUGUGAAAGUUUGCGGCUCAACCGUAAAAUUGCAGUUGAUACUGGAUAUCUUGAGUGCAGUUGAGGCAGGCGGAAUUCGUGGUGUAGCGGUGAAAUGCUUAGAUAUCACGAAGAACUCCGAUUGCGAAGGCAGCCUGCUAAGCUGCAACUGACAUUGAGGCUCGAAAGUGUGGGUAUCAAACAGGAUUAGAUACCCUGGUAGUCCACACGGUAAACGAUGAAUACUCGCUGUUUGCGAUAUACGGCAAGCGGCCAAGCGAAAGCGUUAAGUAUUCCACCUGGGGAGUACGCCGGCAACGGUGAAACUCAAAGGAAUUGACGGGGGCCCGCACAAGCGGAGGAACAUGUGGUUUAAUUCGAUGAUACGCGAGGAACCUUACCCGGGCUUAAAUUGCAGAUGAAUUACGGUGAAAGCCGUAAGCCGCAAGGCAUCUGUGAAGGUGCUGCAUGGUUGUCGUCAGCUCGUGCCGUGAGGUGUCGGCUUAAGUGCCAUAACGAGCGCAACCCUUGUUGUCAGUUACUAACAGGUUCCGCUGAGGACUCCGACAAGACUGCCAUCGUAAGAUGUGAGGAAGGUGGGGAUGACGUCAAAUCAGCACGGCCCUUACGUCCGGGGCUACACACGUGUUACAAUGGGGGGUACAGAGGGCCGCUACCACGCGAGUGGAUGCCAAUCCCAAAAACCUCUCUCAGUUCGGACUGGAGUCUGCAACCCGACUCCACGAAGCUGGAUUCGCUAGUAAUCGCGCAUCAGCCACGGCGCGGUGAAUACGUUCCCGGGCCUUGUACACACCGCCCGUCAAGCCAUGGGAGCCGGGGGUACCUGAAGUGCGUAACCGCGAGGAGCGCCCUAGGGUAAAACUGGUGACUGGGGCUAAGUA